GCGGCGGACGGGUGAGUAAUGUCUGGAAACUGCCUUAUGGAGGGGGAUAACUACUGGAAACGGUAGCUAAUACCGCAUAACGUCGCAAGACCAAAGAGGGGGACCUUCGGGCCUCUUGCCAUCAGAUGUGCCCAGAUGGGAUUAGCUAGUAGUGGGGUAACGGCUCACCUAGGCGACGAUCCCUAGCUGGUCUGAGAGGAUGACCAGCCACACUGGGAACUGAGACACGGUCCAGACUCCUACGGGAGGCAGCAGUGGGGAAUAUUGCACAAUGGGCGCAAGCCUGAUGCAGCCAUGCCGCGUGUAUGAAGAAGGCCUUCGGGUUGUAAAGUACUUUCAGCGGGGAGGAAGGUGUUGUGGUUAAUAACCACAGCAAUUGACGUUACCCGCAGAAGAAGCACCGGCUAACUCCGUGCCAGCAGCCGCGGUAAUACGGAGGGUGCAAGCGUUAAUCGGAAUUACUGGGCGUAAAGCGCACGCAGGCGGUCUGUCAAGUCGGAUGUGAAAUCCCCGGGCUCAACCUGGGAACUGCAUUCGAAACUGGCAGGCUAGAGUCCUGUAAGGGGGGUAGAAUUCCAGGUGUACGGUGAAAUGCGUAGA
rnacentral:rRNA from 1 species